rnacentral:misc_RNA from 1 species
GGGUAUCACAUGCAACAAAUAAGAAAAGCUAAUACCAAUUGAUGUAAACUAAUCUAUUAGUAUAUAUGAAUUUUAACUAGAAGAUGGAGAUUAACACAUAAUCUAAUUCUAGAGAAUCUAACAAAGAUAAUGGGGCAGCAAAUCACCUGAAGUAAAAAUAAAGGAAAUCACAAUAUGCAUUUAGAUAACUCUACCGGUCAAUGACACACAAAUUUAGUGACAAAAAUGAAAAGCAAAAGAGAUAAAUAAACCUUGUUUAUUAUAGCAUGCUUCAGUGAUUGGAGAAUAUUAAGCGACACACUCAUUGGUUCGAACAUAAGAAUCAACAAUAAAAGAUUAUAACAUCUUUGGUGAGGAAUAACUUACAUGGAACAAAUAUAAAAAGAUUUGCAUAAGGCCUUACUGAAAAUGAAACAAAAUGCUAAUUUAGCCGUCGCACUUGCAAUAAUAUACAUGUCAAAUGAAGGUUGUUACUUAACAAAAUGAGAAGAACUUAACACAAUGGGAAUAUCAAGCGUACGAGACUAAGGUCAAACUAGUUCAAACGCCAAAAAAGAAUGGAUCAACAUGCUCCAACCUUAAGAUCGCCAAAUAUGGAAUUUGCCCUACGACCAAGCAGGGACAUAUGCCAACAUACAGCAGUACACACAAGAAAAUUUCUUAGACUUCAAAGUAUCAAGACUUAUCCAACUUGGAUUGAAACAAUAUACCAACG